rnacentral:rRNA from 1 species
UACGAAGGUGGCAAGCGUUGUUCGGAUUUACUGGGCGUACAGGGAGCGUAGGCGGUUGGAUAAGCCCUCCGUGAAAUCUCCAGGCUUAACCUGGAAAGUGCAGAGGGGACUGUUCAGCUAGAGGAUGGGAGAGGAGCGCGGAAUUCCCGGUGUAGCGGUGAAAUGCGUAGAGAUCGGGAGGAAGGCCGGUGGCGAAGGCGGCGCUCUGGAACAUUUCUGACGCUGAGGCUCGAAAGCGUGGGGAGCAAACAG